GAUCCUGGCUCAGGAUGAACGCUAGCUACAGGCUUAACACAUGCAAGUCGAGGGGCGGCGGGAUUGAAGCUUGCUUCAAUUGCCGGCGACCGGCGCACGGGUGAGUAACGCGUAUCCAACCUUCCGUACACUCAGGGAUAGCCUUUCGAAAGAAAGAUUAAUACCGGAUAGUAUCGAGAGAUUGCAUGAUUACCCGAUUAAAGAUUCAUCGGUAACGGAUGGGGAUGCGUUCCAUUAGGCAG
rnacentral:rRNA from 1 species